rnacentral:rRNA from 1 species
AUUGAACGCUGGCGGCAUGCCUAACACAUGCAAGUCGAACGGGGCAGCAAUGCCUAGUGGCGGACGGGUGAGGAACACGUAGGAAUCUGCCCUUAAGUGGGGGAUAACUAGGGGAAACCCUGACUAAUACCGCAUGAUCUCUUCGCAGCAAAGAGGGGGACCGCAAGGCCUCUCGCUCCUGGUUGAGCCUACGUCUGAUUAAGUAGUUGGUAGGGUAAAGGCCUACCAAGGCGACGAUCAGUAACUGGUCUGAUAGGAUGAUCAGUCACACCGGAACGGAGAAAAGGUCCGGACUACUACGGGCGGCAGCAGUGGGGAAUAUUGGACAAUGGGCGCAAGCCUGAUCCAGCAAUGCCGCGUGUGUGAAGAAGGCCUUCGGGUUGUAAAGCACUUUAGCCUGGAAAGAAAAAACUUUGGUUAACACCCAAAGUCUUGACGGUACCAGGAGAAUAAGCACCGGCUAACUCUGUGCCAGCCGCCGCAGUAACAC